CCGAUCCGAAGUGCCGGCUCCGGGGAUUGGCCGGCCGCGCUGGAAACAGAGACGCUCCCCGACUUGUCCUCCCGGGCCCGCACCAUUCCCUC
rnacentral:sRNA from 1 species